AGGGUAACCGGGUCUUCGCCUUUGCUCAUGAUAGGGCGAGGUUCUCCUCCUGUCCCUAACAGGACUGUGGGGGCACAUAUGGGCGUUGCAGGGCCUCUCCCCCCAUUCAGUCUAAGUGUAAUCGGGCCUUCGACUUUGCUCCCAUUAGGGCGAGGUUCUCCUCCUGUCCCUAACGGGGCUGUGGGGGCACAUACGGGCGUUGCAGGGCCUCUCCCCCAUCCGGUCUAUGUGUAAUCGGGCCUUCGAUCGCGUCGAGAUGAGGUUCUCUUCCUGCUCCUGACACAGUUUGCUUCGAUUGUCCUG
rnacentral:lncRNA from 1 species